ACCUGCGCUACUCCAUAGGCCGAUUAGUUACAAGUGUCGUAUGUUCCUUGUCAAUUCAUUGUGAUUUCUGAUUUUUAUUCAUUUAUCACUAGUGUAUGUAACGUAAUUUUGCUCAUCCCUCAAGACUAGGGUAAAGCAACCGAAUUCCACCUAAAGUUUUCCAAUUCAGACUAGGGCUGCCAUUCACGUUCCCAGCUUGCGAUUGGAAAGUCUCCACGGUUACUUUGACCUCGUUAGCAAAUGCAAGAGGUUGAAUGCUACAAGCUCCCAAUAAAACUGCGUCGCAAAUUUGUGCGGGCUCAACAGAUGUCGGAGAGCGGAUGUGCGAAAUGUGUCAAUCCCCUAAAUAGUUUCUGGGAAGCUGUGCAAAUCCAGCGAAGGACCAUUCCGCGGCUCGCACGUUCGUGGCAUUUGUCUUGCCGCUUCUGCAGAAAAUUUUCUCCACGCGCCUAACACGAGACUCUUCCGAGUCUUAUUGCCAAGCGUUCUGCCCGGAAGAAAAUUUGCGUGUCUUGGUCCAAGAACGAGACCAUGAGUAGAAUCUUAAUCUUCGAUGGGAUUAUAUGCACAACCUGGCCUCCGAAUACCCAUAAAAAUUAACGUUGAGUCGACACGGGCGUGAAGGCAUUCAUUCAAUUUGCAUCUAUGGACUACCAAAUAUAUCUAUUUCGUGUUCCGAUCUCGGAUAUGUAACGUGCAUCUCCUCUACGAGUGUACCUGCUCUUCGGAAUCGCUCUUGCCGCAUGCUACAAACUACUGAAGUUGCAUCUAACUGAAAAAUCUCCAAUCUUCAAAGCCUCCAUACUUUAAAGCACAACUU